GAUGAACGCUGGCGGCGUGCCUAAUACAUGCAAGUCGAGCGAACAGACGAGGAGCUUGCUCCUCUGACGUUAGCGGCGGAAGGGUGAGUAACACGUGGAUAGCCUACCUAUAAGACUGGGAUAACUUCGGGAAACCGGAGCUAAUACCGGAUAACAUGUUGAACCGCAUGGUUCAACAGUGAAAGACGGUCUUGCUGUCACUUAUAGAUGGACCCGCGCCGCAUUAGCUAGUUGGUAAGGUAACGGCUUACCAAGGCAACGAUGCGUAGCCGACCUGAGAGGGUGAUCGGCCACACUGGAACUGAGACACGGUCCAGACUCCUACGGGAGGCAGCAGUAGGAAAUCUUCCGCAAUGGGCGAAAGCCUGACGGAGCAACGCCGCGUGAGUGAAGAAGGUCUUCGGAUCGUAAAACUCUGUUAUUAGGGAAGAACAAAUGUGUAAGUAACUAUGCACGUCUUGACGGUACCUAAUCAGAAAGCCACGGCUAACUACGUG
rnacentral:rRNA from 1 species